GAUGAAGAACGUAGUGAAAUGCGAUAAGUAAUGUGAAUUGCAGAAUUCAGUGAAUCAUCGAAUCUUUGAACGCACAUUGCGCCCGCCAGUAUUCUGGCGGGCAUGCCUGUUCGAGCGUCAUUACAACCCUCAGGCCCCCGGGCCUGGCGUUGGGGAUCGGCGGAGCCCCCCGUGGGCACACGCCGUCCCCCAAAUGCAGUGGCGGUCCCGCCGCAGCUUCCAUUGCGUAGUAGCUAACACCUCGCGACUGGAGAGCGGCGCGGCCACGCCGUAAAACACCCAACUCUUCUGAAGUUGACCUCGAAUCAGGUAGGAAUACCCGCUGAACUUAAGCAUAUCAAUAAGCGGAGGA
rnacentral:misc_RNA from 1 species